ACCUGGGUGGCUCAGUCGGUUAAGCAUCUGACUUCAGCUCAGGUCAUGAUCUCAAAGUUCAUGGGUUCGAGCCCCAUGUCAGGCU
rnacentral:tRNA from 1 species